UACAGAGGGGGCAAGCGUUAUUCGGAAUUAUUGGGCGUAAAGGGCGCGUAGGCGGCUCGGCACGUCCGUUGUGAAAUCGCCCGGCUCAACUGGGCGGGGUCGGCGGAUACGGCCGAGCUGGAGCAAGCUAGGGGGUAAUGGAAUUCCCGGUGUAGUGGUGGAAUGCGUAGAUAUCGGGGAGGAACACCAGUGGCGAAGGCGGUUACCUGGAGCUUUGCUGACGCUGAUGCGCGAAAGCGUGGGGAGCGAUCCGG
rnacentral:rRNA from 1 species